rnacentral:lncRNA from 1 species
CAUUGUAAAUAUUCAAGGAGAUUCAAAUGUUCCUCUUCUGGCCGAUUGAAGGUACUACCUGGUCCAAUUUUGCCACAAAAAAUAAUGCUAUCUUGUUGUAUGCUUUGUAGUGUUAAUUUCAUGUGCUAUUAUAGAUUACACGUAUAUGUCAGGGUGGACACGGUCCAGGCCGGUCCGGUCCCUGACCGAGCCGUCCUUUGGACCGGCCGUUGGCGGUCCGGACCGAACAGGGUCACGGUCCUGUUUCCAGGGACCGGACCGGCAGGGACGAAGCCCGAGCUGGACCGAGCGGCUCGUUUGGACCGGUCGGAGUUCACCAUAGAGCACGCGCCGGAGCAUGGCGACGUGGGGAGGGCGCUGGAGGCAGCGGGGCUUGUCGUGGAGAUGUCAGGCAGCUUUGGAAGUUCUAGAGGGAGAUAGAGGAGCCAAGAAGAUCACCAGAGCGAGCUCAUCGGCGACGAAUUUGGCACGACGGCCGGUGGACGGAGAUGAAAAAGAUGAUGCCCGAUGCGGCGAUGCAGGACCUCCCACGUCGUGAUCGUUGGUGCAUACGAUAGAUCCGAGUGGGGCGCAUCCAGUGGACAUAUUUCCCAGGGCCAACGAGUCCAGUGGCCGCGCGGACGACGGCCCCCGCGGCGGCGGACAUGAACGGCGACAGUUUCUUCAGCCCCCGCCGUGCCUGGGCCGCCACACCCCCGCCACGCCCUCGCCACGCCCCCGCCACGCCCCACCACGCGCGCCCACCACGCUCUCGCCAUGCCCCGGCCACGCUCUCACCAUGCCCCCGCCACGUUCUUCGGUCCGCUCGGUCGGCUCGGUUAAAGCCUGGAUCGGACCGAAGUUUUGUCGGGCUGGAUUCCUGAGCUCGGACCGGCCGAUUUUUUCAGUGGGCCAGGACCGAGCCGGCCUGAGCCGAGCGGGCCACGAGCCGGACCGUGGGACCGGACCAUGUCGUCCACCCUGACGUAUAUGCUUAUGAGAAUUUUCAUGUUUGUUAGAUUAAAAAACUGUAUUUCGUCCUUUUAGCCAGUGGUUAAUUUAGCAGAGCAUUAACAUAGUAUUGGUCUGAUCAGCGAGAUGAUGAUCACGAAGUCCUGUUGAUAAUCAUCAUGUUGUGAUUUUUCAAUGUCCUAUAGAACUUGUUGUGUCCUCAAAUCAGCAAAGAUAGUAGCAGUUUCCAGUAGAACUUUUUCUACUGCAAUAUUUCCCUUUGCAAUCCAUACAAGUAAACAUUAUGUGUAUUCGUUUUUCUUUGUUUACUAGAUGUUGUACAAAAUGUUUAUCAGACACCCACGUGAAUUGAUUGCGGGGGUUUGGAUCCGCUCCAGUGUGUUUGUUCUUACAAUCUAGGAGGAUCAUACAUGUAUAUGGUGAAUCAUUUAUGAAUCUUUCUUUAAAAUAUGUAUGUCCACGUUGGUUUCUAUGAUUUAAUGUUCUGUUAUCAUCAGAAUAAAACGAUUAGCAUUGCACUAAAUAUAUUCUAUCUUUGUGUAUUCUUCAGUUCAAUAAGGAUGCUGAUAAGGUGAUUGAGGUAAUGAAGCUUAGGGUUGUCUACACAUUGCCCAGUGGAAGGUCAGACAACUCUGGUGUUACAUCUUUAGCAAAUAGGAGCUUUAGGCAGGGCACUGAUGAUUUGACGGUGAUAUUGGUUAGCUCUAUGUCCUAUUUAGGAAACAUAUUGAUUUAUUAAUAUUUUUUAAGUAUAAAAGCUAACUAUAAUCUGCACAAGAGCCAAACCUGCAGAAGGUUAGAGUGUGUGCAGCAGUUUCAGAACCUAGGGAAAACUAGCCUGACUGGUCUCUUUAAUAUUUAGUGAGUCUGUCCAUGCACUUUUAAUUCUACUCACCACUAAAGAUAUCUACAACUUUCAUGUUGAACGCAUAGUUUAAUUCAAACAGUAACAUGGUCUAAGUCCGCAUACAAGGUUACUGUACACAGAAUUACAUAAGGAUUAACUUUUGGACUGUGAAACUAAAUUGGACUGCUACUUUUAAACCGUACAUCGAAAUAGUGCAAAUAGAUAGUCUAUAGAAAGCAUGGGACAUAUCUCUCCUUUUUUUUGGCGAUUGAUCUCCACAUUAUGUUUGGAGUCCAAGUGAAAAUUAUGCAGUUUUUGAUAGAGGAUUUGGAAAGGCCGAAUCUGUUUAGUAGGUGGAUUACCCAAAACAGUUGACUUCAUCCAACCCAACCUCACAUCACUGUAUAAAGUUUGUAGCACUUAUUUUAUAUGCAGAGCACUUGUGAACUAGGAUUUUGACCAAAAGAUUUCGAGUGUUUUAUGGGAGCUUGCAUUGCAGGGAUACUUGAAGCUAGGGCAAUCCAAGUAAGAUAGCUUCAUCCUCAGACAACAGGUUUAUGUUAUCUUAUCAUGGAGUCAUUUUUAAGUUCGUGCCCAACGCAUGCAUGUAAAUAUGUAAUACACCAACUUUGUUCUUUUAUUUUUUUCGAUUGACUAAGUUUACCUUUUCAAUUUACAUUCCCUUUAUAGCUAGCAAAUGGUCUCCAGAGGAUUUUUUAGAAGUUCAAAUCCAGUAAUUAAAUGUUGAUCGCAUAAGGCAGGCUGAUGGUAUCUUGGUCGAAGAAUUUUAUUCCUACUGGAUGGAACUAGAACUGUUCUUCCUAAAUAUGUUGGCAUGCAAAGAACAAUAUCUAUCUAAAAUGUCUUUUGGCUCAUUUGUUUUGCGUGCUCAGGUUAAACAAGUGCAAUCUGAAAUUAAGAAAGCUUCUUUUAUGGUAACAUACAGGAAAGUUCUUAUAUAUGCAGUUACCUAUGCACACAUGAUAUUGUGUUUCUAACCUCAUUUGUUCUGUGUUGCAGGUUAAGAAAUUUACAGUUUAAAAAUUAAUAAAGCAGCGAUCCCCUUCCUAUAGUCAAUAAUGCUUAUUAGGAGUCCUGAUAUUCCAAUAGUCCAGAAAUGGUUAUGUAAAAUACAUAAUAUUCACUGUUGUUGGCAUUUUCACAAUUAGCUUGCUUUUAUCUCACUGCAAUUCAUUGCUCAUGGCUUAUACUGGCUUUUCUGUUAUGAAUGUUCUCUUUCUUUAGGAAUCUGGCUACUGUUUGGUGCCAACUGCUGUGGUAAGUCAUAUUAUAUCUUGUGUCAAUAGUCUGUAUAAAUUUAUGCAUCAUUUGCACUUAUAAGCUUUUUAUUAGUGAUGGUAAUAGGGAGCGCAUGUACGUGCAGCUGUGGAAUGAUCACCCAAAUCACCUCAAUCAGAAAGGGGAGGCCAAACUAUGAUAUGGUUUAGUACCAGUUGAUGGAGCAACAGAAGGUAAUGCCUAUCUUAGUGAUUCUAAGCUCAUUUCCCCCCAAUAAGUGUUCCUUGCAAAAUGAUAUUUUGCAUCCAAUAUAAUUUAAUUCAUGGGCUUCUUUACAUCAAAUAUAUUUUGUACUGGGUUGAUGGAGUUGGCCUGUGUUUGCAUUUGAUAAUGCUUUCUUAAGAGGCUUUUUAUGACACCCGUACAUAGUAUCUUUGGCAUUUUGAAGGAUAGUUGUAUUUGGUUACCUGUAUUAUAAUUAUUCUGGAGUGAAUUAAAUCAGAAGCUAAUUUUAUCAAAAGGCAGUUUCCUUUCCUAUGAGGCUAUGAUGGCAACCAUAAUUAUGCCCGUGUGAAAUUAAAACAAGCAUUUUAGAUGCAGUUUGUGGAAAAUGUCAUUCUUUUUCCAAGCCUUGAUGCUAUCGUCAAAUUAAUAGAUGAAAUGCCUUACCUCUUAUAAAUUAAAUAUUUCUAUUGCUUAGGUUAAGACUGUUACAGUUUUUGUUGAUCGUGAUAAGGUUCCUGGUUGCAGACUGAGAUCUCCGCAAACAGAAAAUAGAUUAUCCUUUUAUAAGAAGUAGGGUACGGAUAUUCAUUUAUCUUUGGUUUUUUAGGUAGAGGUUUGUUCGCUAAAUCAUACUAAAUCAAAGACAUUUAUUUUGGGAUGGAGGGAGUACUAGAUAAGAUCAUGCUCUCUUUGUGAAGUAAACAAGAUAGUAGCACGAAAUGUUUGCUUUCCUUUUUCUUUUUCCAGUUAGAGGUAUUAGUUGAUAUUACAAAUAAAUCUUUGUUUAUUUGUAUAGUAUGUUCUCCAUUGUAAGACAAAAUCUGAAUUUCAGAUAGCUGGACAAGAUCUGUCUUACAGGUACUUGUGCAGAGAUGUUAAUUUAAGCAAUGUACUAGCAUAUUGUGUGAUGCAACAAUUUGCAAACCUAGAGUAGCCCUUCUUUGGCCUGCUUAUCGGGUCUGUUUUUGAAUGAUCAUGUUCACUAAUGUCCCUGCUUUUCUAAUGUAACUCUGUCACUAGGCCCUGAGCUGCACCUUCCUUUUGCAAGGUAUGUUGUGCGGCUGUGUUUGUGUGAUUUUGUUGCUACAUGAGUAAGUUUUGGGGAAUUGAGGCUGCAGUCAUAUUGUUAUCUGCAAUAAUAAAGGCCAAAUGAAGCUAUAAGCGGGCGCGCUUUGACGAAUGAGCUAUGACACAAUAUUUGAUAUAUUUCUCUGAGGGUCUCUGUUGUUUCUUUCAGCAGUGUGCUCUCUGGCCUCCUUUUCCUUUGCAUGCAUUACAUUUGUUAUUUCAAUCUCAUGUGUCUCUAUGCCACGAAGAUAACUAGCAAUAGAACGUGAAUAAAGUAGUACACUUCUUUGUCUGGUUGUGUACAUUGUCUGUAUUGUUUGACGCAUCCACCGCC